UUGACCAUAAAUCUAUGCAUGGGAUGUGCAAGGAUGUCAUAUAAACCUUUCAGCCUGGGAAGUUAUGGCUAUUCUGCUAAGGGGAACUGCAGCUGCUGGUAUCUGUCUUCCUUCUGAGGUGCAGUUUUCAUGCACAUUAGUCACCCUGAGCAGCCUGCACAAAGUUGAUCCUGACCUGCACCGUGCCAUCUUUUGCCAGCAGGCUUCACUGCUAAUCUACCAUGAAGGAUGCUUCAUUUGCCGCCAGCAUGAAGAUGUCACCUAUGCUGUGUGCAGGACUGCCAGUAGCACGGAUGGUCUCUCUGCAGGGGUGGCAUGGAGGAACAGCCCUGCAUCAGAAAGAUGUUUCAAAACACUGUACAAAGAAAAUGAAUGGUGUGCCUGGGGUAGGCUGCUAGGCUCAGAGGAAAGGCUAUGAAUAAAGGUAUCAUAUAUC